AUUGAACGCUGGCGGAAUGCUUUACACAUGCAAGUCGAACGGCAGCACGGACUUCGGUCUGGUGGCGAGUGGCGAACGGGUGAGUAAUGUAUCGGAACGUGCCCAGUCGUGGGGGAUAACGUAGUGAAAAUUACGCUAAUACCGCAUACGAUCUAUGGAUGAAAGCGGGGGAUCGCAAGACCUCGCGCGUUAGGAGCGGCCGAUGGCGGAUUAGCUAGUUGGUAGGGUAAAGGCCUACCAAGGCGACGAUCCGUAGCGGGUCUGAGAGGACGACCCGCCACACUGGAACUGAGACACGGUCCAGACUCCUACGGGAGGCAGCAGUGGGGAAUUUUGGACAAUGGGCGAAAGCCUGAUCCAGCCAUUCCGCGUGCAGGAUGAAGGCCCUCGGGUUGUAAACUGCUUUUGUACAGAACGAAAAGGUUUCUACUAAUACUAGGAGCUCAUGACGGUACUGUAAGAAUAAGCACCGGCUAACUACGUGCCAGCAGCCGCGGUAA
rnacentral:rRNA from 1 species